UCUGUUGGUCAAGUGGUUAGAGCAUCCGCCUCAGAUGUAGGAGGUCGUGGGUUUGAACCCCAGCCCAGUCAA